rnacentral:rRNA from 1 species
ACGGGGAGCACCACAACGGUGGAGCCUGCGGUUUAAUUGGACUCAACGCCGGGCAGCUCACCGGAUAAGACAGCUGGAUGAUAGCCGGGCUGAAGACUCUGCUUGACUAGCUGAGAGGAGGUGCAUGGCCGUCGUCAGUUCGUACUGUGAAGCAUCCUGUUAAGUCAGGCAACGAGCGAGACCCACGCCAACAGUUGCCAGCAUGUCCCCCGGGAUGAUGGGGACACUGUUGGGACCGCCUCUGCUAAAGAGGAGGAAGGAAUGGGCAACGGUAGGUCAGCAUGCCCCGAAUUAUCCGGGCUACACGCGGGCUACAAUGGUCAGGACAAUGGGUAUCGACACCGAGAGGUGGAGGCAAUCUCCUAAACCUGUCCUUAGUUCGGAUUGUGGGCUGCAACUCGCCCACAUGAAGCUGGAAUCCGUAGUAAUCGCGUUUCAAAAUAGCGCGGUGAAUAUGCCCCUGCUCCUU